rnacentral:rRNA from 1 species
GACGAACGCUGGCGGCGUGCCUAAUACAUGCAAGUCGAACGAGAGCGCCCGGUGCUUGCACUGGUCAAGCUAGUGGCGAACGGGUGAGUAACACGUGGGUAACCUGCCCAUCAGAGUGGGAUAACAUCCGGAAACGGAUGCUAAAACCGCAUAAGUCUUCGAACCGCAUGGUUUGAAGAGGAAAAGAGGCGCAAGCUUCUGCUGAUGGUUGAACCCGCGGUGCAUUAGCUAGUUGGUGAGGUAACGGCUCACCAAGGCCGUGAUGCAUAGCCGACCUGAGAGGGUGAUCGGCCACAUUGGGACUGAGACACGGUCCAGACUCCUACGGGAGGCAGCAGUAGGGAAUCUUCCGCAAUGGACGCAAGCCUGACGGAGCAACGCCGCGUGAGUGAAGAAGGUCUUCGGAUCGUAAAACUCUGUUGUUAGAGAAGAACAAGUGUUAGAGUAACUGUUCGCGCCUUGACGGUACCUAAUCAGAAAGCCACGGCUAACUACGUG